rnacentral:tRNA from 1 species
UUGGAGGGAUUAAGGAUUAACGAGUAGUUUAAGUAAAACAGCAGGUUGUGGCUCUGCAGAUGGUGUUGUCUUUCGUUAG